AGGGGGGUUUGAUCAUGGGCUCAGAGCGAACGUUAGCGGCGGGCCUAACACAUGCAAGUCGAACGAGAACGCUCCUUCGGGAGUUAUUAAAGUGGCGCACGGGUGAGGAACGCGUAGGUAAUCUACCCUCCGGCGGGGGACAACAUUCCGAAAGGAAUGCUAAUACCGCGUAAGACCACGCCCACUGCGGUGGAAGUGGUUAAAGACGGCCUCUUCUUGAAAGCUGUCACCAGAGGAUGAGCCUGCGUCCCAUCAGCUUGUUGGUGAGGUAAUGGCUUACCAAGGCGAAGACGGGUAGCUGGUCUGAGAGGAUGAUCAGCCACACUGGCACUGGAACACGGGCCAGACUCCUACGGGAGGCAGCAGUGAGGAAUAUUGGGCAAUGGGCGCAAGCCUGACCCAGCCACGCCGCGUGUGUGAUGAAGGCCUUCGGGUCGUAAAGCACUGUGGGGAGAGACGAACAAUUUCCGUCCUAAUACGACGGAGACCUGACGGUACCUCCUUAGCAAGCACCGGCUAACUCUGUGCCAGCAGCCGCGGUAAUACAGAGGGUGCAAACGUUGCUCGGAUUUACUGGGCGUAAAGCGCGUGUAGGCGGACUCGCAAGUCGGUUGUUGAAAUUCCCUGGGCUUUAACCUAGGAACUGC
rnacentral:rRNA from 1 species